GACAGAGGGUGCAACGUUGUUCGGAUUUACUGGGCGUAAAGCGCGUGUAGGCGGCUUGGCAAGUCGGAUGUGAAAGCCCACGGCUCAACCGUGGAAGCGCAUCCGAAACGGCCUCGCUCGAGUCUCGGAGAGGAAGGUGGAAUGCUUGGUGUAGAGGUGAAAUUCGCAGAUAUCAGGAAGAACACCCGUGGCGAAGGCGGUUCUCUGGGACGGUACUGACGACUGGAGACGCGAAAGCGUGGGGAGCGAACAGG
rnacentral:rRNA from 1 species